rnacentral:misc_RNA from 1 species
GGGCUUUCAGCACAAUUAGCGUUGACGAUGGGCUCGAUAGUCUCACUCACGAACCUGGAGCUCGAAGAAAAGUGAAAGAAAAAGAGCAAAUAGCCAUUUCUCAACUUGACAAACCAUGGAUGAAAAUGAAACAGCAAAUGCAAAAGUUGCUUCUCUGAGAUGGGGAAUCCCUCGUCAAGCCCUCCUUCGUCGCCCUCCUGCCCAUAUUUCAGGUUCUUUCUUCUAUACACCAAUCGAAUUCCUUAAAUCUAAUUGGCUGCCUAUUGCUGUUAAUGUAUCUCGCAGAUGAGAAAUCUUUAAAUGAUAUCAAGCGCAUUUCCAGGAAGGCCUGUUAUGGCUUCAACUUAAUUCCUAGCCGAUUACUAGUUGAUAAAAAUCCAAACUCUAGAGAAGCCUAUAUAUGCUACACGUUACCCACUAAUGGGUCCCCUAAACUUUUCCUUACGUGAGUUCAUUUUCUUUCAUUUGGUGUACUGGACCUUGUAUCUUGUUCUCUCAGGUAUUUCUUCGAACACGUUCUGAACUUUAGAUUGAAAUGUGAUUGCAUUCAAAUACAAUAGGACUGUUUUUUAUAUUUGAGUUUUGUUGUUGCUAUCUAUGGAAUUCUUUGCAGCCAAAAGAUGGACGGGCGCCCUAAUCUCAGUGAUUUUGAGAUAUCUAAUAGAUACAAUGUUGAUAACACUGGGCUUGUCUAGAACAGAGUAUUGAGGGAAGGAGAUAGUGGUGUGCUAUGCAUGUUUCAGGCUGGAACAAUUGGAGGGGAUUCUGACUUCUGACCACACUGAUAAUUACGAUUUUUAAAAUGAUCAAAUCAAACUGGACUGUUUUGAACAUAGAAAUCAAACUAAACAGAACCAAUUACCAAAUCAGAUUAAAUCAAAAUAUUAUUCUUUGAUCCAAUUUUUGAAAUGUUUUGAGACAAACAAAACUUUUUUUUUUAGUUCUGCAUAACCAGCUCAGGUUAGCUUAAAUAUUCACUUCCUUAUAUGUAAUAAAAAGAUUUAAAAAUCACAAAAAUAAAUUUUUAUUAUUACUAUUAUUUUAUACAAGUUUGAGUUACUGUUUUUAGUUUCGUUUCUUAUGAAGUGAAGUUUUAUUUCCUACAAUCCGUAUUGUACUUUUUAUUGAGUGGUAAACUAAACCAACUGCCAAAUUCAGACCAGAUUGGUGGAUUGAAUUUAAGGAUGCAUACCCCUGAGAGUGAAAGUUUUUGUCUGUGGCACCUGAAUUUUGAUGAAAUUUGAAAUAUUUCAUGCAUGGGGGCCUUCUUUUAUUUUAUUGCUUUGAUUAUAAGAUAUCUAUCUAUUUUAUUUGGGAAGUUCUACUUUAAGCUCCUGCUAUUGGAUUAACUUCUGCAAUGGGUGUGUUUUUACAAGCUAGUUAAAUACAAUAUCAUAAUGGCGGUUGGUGUGCAUCACCAUUGAAAGUUUCUUAAUAUGGUGUUAGAUAUAUGAACUGGAAGAUUCAGUUCAAAUCUUGUUAGCUGGAGAAAAUUCAAAUGGUUCAUCUACAUAAUCAAUUAGUGUUGCUUUAUCUUGUUUAUGCUUAGGAUUCUAAAAUGAUCUUGUUAUACAGGUCAUUGGCCAUCAGAAGAAGUCCUUGCUUAUUUUUGCUUAUCACAUGCAGACAUGUUCAGGUCAAAAAGAGUUAUUGAGCUUGGCUCAGGCUAUGGUUUAGCUGGAUUAGUUAUUGCUGCAACUACCGAGGCAUCAGAAGUUGUAAUCUCCGAUGGAAAUCCUCAAGUGGUCGAUUGUAUGCUUUUCAUUUGCACAUUCUAGCGGCCAAUGUGUAUGAGAACUUUAUGAUUAUUUAUUGAAUUUUAGUCUUCAUUUGUUUCAUGGAAAAUAACUUCUCUAUGAUUUUUUCGGCUCCAAAGAUGGUCGUGUGGUCAAUGGAUUAAUGAGUGUAUAUUCUGUGGUUCUCUUAUAAGUUUCUUCCCUUUAACGAGUUUGUCAAAAUUUAGAAAAGUGUUUGUCUUUUCAAGAGGAAGUCAUUUUCUCUUUAGCCAAGAAAACAUUUUCCAUUGGCCAAAUUUUCGAAGUGUCCCAAAUGUCAGAAAAUAUAUUAUAGGAAAAUAUUUUCUGUGAAACAAAAGGAGCCUCAGUAUUAAAGAAAGUAAACUUUAAGCUUUAACUCUCUAAUUGAGUAGGGAAUUUACCAGCAAAUUUUCUUCUCAAUUGAAGCAAAGAAAUUAACCACGCUUAAUACCAUUAAAGUAAGAAAUUUAUUUUUGAAAUGCUGUGUAUGGCUAUUAAUGACAUGAAACAUUAUUGCCCCAACCUUUAGACUAUUUCUGGAGACAGCCUUUUUGUUGUCAUUAAUGCAACUCAUAGUUUUCUGUUGCUCAUUCAAAUAGAGUGAUAAGCGUUAGAAUUAGUUGGUGAGACAGGUCAUGAGAAGUUUGGAUGGCAUAUCUGUUUCUCAAAGUGAGUACUGGCUUUCCAUGUAAGGCAUUGUCACUUGCUGAUGUCUGAUUGGUUUGGUUCAUUAGAGGAGAACCAUGAGGAAUGAUUUACAAAUUUAGUGCUUUAAUAAUCUUAAUGUGGCUUGAUUUCAAGCUGUAUCAAUGCAUAAUUUUAUUGCAAAAUAUAUAUGUAGUUUCUAGAGUUGAUUGUUUGAUUAUCAUUAACCCUUCAUGUCCUAUUGUUAUUCCUUGAAAAUUUGCAGUCAUUUUGCCAUCUCAAAUGAAAUGUUAAGUUGUUUGUACCUCAUGUAUUAUGCAUUCAGAAUUUCAAUUACUCAAGCUGUACUCUCAAGUUUUGGCCUAGGAUUGAGUUCUAGGCCUUCCUUGGACUUGAGAACGGAUAAGAUCUAAAAUGUGGAGUGUCUCCAAUCUGAUCUGAUUCUUGCUUGCUUGCGACCUGUUUUAUGCUGUAUGUUGUGGCUAACCAUCCUUUAUUUUGUUGAUAUCUUUCUUGUUUGCCGACUUUCUUCCAUCAGUAUGAUUUUUUAUUGUUUUAAAUUAAAAGAGAAAAAUUACUUUGACAAUAAUUAUAAUGAUUUUGAGUUAUAGUUUAGAUAUGUUUGUAUUUGAUGCAUCUCCUUGGAGAUGUAAUUUCUUGCUGCUGUGUCCUAAGGCACUUAUAUUCUUGAUUUAGUUCUAAGGUUGUGCUGGUCAGUUAAUUUCUCAUGCCAAGUGGAGCAUCACAGUAUUGCAAAGAUUUUUCUGGCUUUGGUGUACCACAGGGUCAC